GACCUCGUGGCGUAAUUGGUAGCGCGUUCGACUCCAGAUCGAAAGGUUAUCCGUUCAAGUCGGGUCGGGGUCA
rfam:Myceliophthora thermophila ATCC 42464 chromosome 2, complete sequence.